UCCGCAAGCACUAGGGUCGGGCCGCCCUCGCGGCCGCUGCGCCCGGUGGGCGGCGGUUACAUGACUGCAGGGGAAAUGGCUGCCCGUCUGUUAUAAAAACAGAACAUUCUAAGUACGACUUGCCGCUUCCUGAAAAGCUGUCCUGAUCCCCCAGCAGAGCCCGGGCUCCUCCGUGCGCAUCUGACUUCCGCGGUCUGGGUGCGUGCCCGGUAAGUCACUUGCCACGCGGUCGGUGCCGUCCUCCUGUGCCCAGUAAGCGGGUGCCCGCGCCUCCAGCCCCGCGCCUCCAGCCCCGCGCCUCCAGCCCCGCGCCUCCAGCCCCGCGCCUCCAGCCCCGCGCCUCCAGCCCCGCGCCGGGCGCGCAGCGUCUCGGAAGGGCGGGCUGCACGCGGAGACAAGGCGAGGACGCCCAGUGACGUCCGCGCCGGGACGCGGGGAACACCCAGGAGAACAGGCUCUGGCUGGCGAAGCGCCCGAGCACCCGGAAACUGACAGCAAUCCGACCGUCCUCGUUCCCUCCAGACCCACUGGCUUCCACCUUCAAGUAAAAGUAGACCAGUCUCAACAGCCACACCUGCGCCAUCCCCGCCCCCACCUUCCUUUCUCUCUGGCCCUUUUAAGUCCUUUAAAUCCAAACCUCAGUCUACAUCAUGGUCCCCUUUUACAAAAUGUCCCUUGUUUUGUAACCAAAUAUUUCAAAAGUUACCAGAGAAAGAUUCUUUGCACUUGCCACUCUAAAAUGCCCACCUGAGUUAUACACCUGCACUCCCUCCUGCCUUCCGUGCGGACCGGGGUCCUCAAACCUUGUAAGCAGGGGCCGGCCACCGUCCCUCAACCGCGCGAGCGCGCUCCACGCAUGCGCACUGCGGGCCGGACCCGCGGCUGCGGAGCAGGACAGGCAGCGGCCGGAUAAACGUGCCGGGCGCCCGCGUGUGGCCCGCGGGCCCAGUUUGAGGACGCCUGGUGUAGACAUACCUCACUCAAUCUCACCAAGACUCCACACCAGGAAAUAGAUGCAAAAGAAAGUCGGAGUUCAAUACAAACCUUUAUUAACUACCUUAAA